AUGCUGACAGUUCUUUUAUGAUUGUUUGACGUCUGUACAGUGGCUUGGACGGUGUUAUGCUAUCGCUACGCGGGUGUUCUGUACUGCGAGAAAAACAACCCACGACGAUGAUGGCACGGGAGAUAAUGGACAACACGAAGCGGGCUGGCAAAUCUAUCAUGUUAACGAGGAGGGCAUAUCCACACCCCUAGUGCAACAAACACACGAAAAAGAGCCAGGAGGGCGGUGUUUGUUCCCAGCGUCCCCGCAGCCACAUAGUGUGGUCAUCGACAAUAAUGUACCAGUGAUGGCAAAAGAGAAGCCACAGGAAUUUGAAAUAAUGGAAGCCUGUCCGUCACUUACAGGUUGCAAGUAACCAGGCAUCUUCUGUGUACUGGUAAAUAUGGAUUGAAAUUGUACAUCAGUCAUUCAUAUUUUCUCAACAACAAAAAAAAGAAAAAAAUAUAUAUAUCCAAAAUAUAUAUAACAGCAGUGGUGGGGGGAAAGCUUUGCUUUUCGUGAAGGAGAUAUUUGCAAAGGUGCUUUCAUGUAUAGGCAACAGCUUUUUACAUUAAACCCCUCUUGCUAUACUUUCAAUGCAACUCGACCCAACUUCUGUCUUCCGUGUAGAAUAUAAAUAAAACAAUCAAGAGAAAAUAAGCCACUGACAGGCACUAAUGCAUCCCGAGGGUAAAGCUAUUAAAAUGGAUUGAUAGAGGGAAAAGGGAUCUGAAAGCGCACAACAACGCUUGCAUCAGAUGCUGAUCUUUUUGAUCAUGUUCAAAUGUUUUCACAUGGAACCUCUUAGCGUUGAUGAGCACUUGGACCAGUGAGGAAAUGCUGGUUUGGAAUCAGGAGAAGAUUCUCUUGUCAUAUGGCAUUAGGAGCCUUCGGUUUGUCCAAGUAGCUAGCCCACUUGCAACACACUUUGACUGUUCAAUUGCACAUCUUUUGGAAUUUGUGGGGGUUGUGAAGCCAAACCGUGAUUAGCCUACAACCGACCUGGAGGACAAAAUGUGUUUCCUGUUGCAAUAAGCCCAAUGGAAAAAUGGCAUCAUUUUUGCAUAAGCCUCUUCAGGACACCAUUUUUAUUACAGGAACUGAAACUGUUAUCAAUUUUUGUUUUUGUUUGGGCCUUUAUUUACAUGUGUGCUGCUCAAAAUAACGUAAUGAUUUUGUUCAGUGCAGUACAUGAAAGUUUUCAUAGAGUGAAAAUAAAUAAUUUCAUCUAAUAACUGUAACUUACAUGCCGGGCCAAUAGGUGGCGAUAUCGCUUUUGGCCUGGAUUACCACACCUCAAGUUUUAUUUAUUCAGUUUUACGAGGUAAGUCAAUAGAGAACACUUUAAAAAAUCUUUUUUUAUAUAUAUUCGAGUUGAAGUAUACCUUUUCUAACCAGUGUGCUUGAGCCCAAAACAAAAACAAAAAACUAACAUCUUGAACUAACUGUUUUACUAUAACAUACCCCUUGUCUAGUUCUGAGGUUUAGACACCAUUGGCUAACUGCAACCAUCUGCUCAGUCCAAAAUGAAGAAGGUCUCGAGCUAAUGAGCUAAUCGAGGCUCCAAAGAGUUGUGACGAAGAGCUGCUGACAUAAUGAAUAAACAAGAGGCCACAAGGCUCGGCUGUCACGCUGCUCA